rnacentral:rRNA from 1 species
UACGUAGGGGGCAAGCGUUGUCCGGAAUUACUGGGCGUAAAGCGCGUGUAGGCGGGCCGGCAAGUCUGGCGUGAAAGGCUCGGGCUCAACCCGAGAUGGCCGCUGGAAACUGCCGUUCUUGAGGGUCGAAGAGGAGAGUGGAAUUCCUGGUGUAGCGGUGAAAUGCGUAGAGAUCAGGAGGAACACCCAUGGCGAAGGUAGCUCUCUGGUCGACCUCUGACGCUGAGACGCGAAAGCGUGGGGAGCGAACGGG